GAUGAACGCUGGCGGCGUGCCUAAUACAUGCAAGUCGAGCGAACAGACAAGGAGCUUGCUCCUUUGACGUUAGCGGCGGACGGGUGAGUAACACGUGGGUAACCUACCUAUAAGACUGGGAUAACUUCGGGAAACCGGAGCUAAUACCGGAUAAUAUUUCGAACCGCAUGGUUCGAUAGUGAAAGAUGGUUUUGCUAUCACUUAUAGAUGGACCCGCGCCGUAUUAGCUAGUUGGUAAGGUAACGGCUUACCAAGGCGACGAUACGUAGCCGACCUGAGAGGGUGAUCGGCCACACUGGAACUGAGACACGGUCCAGACUCUUACGGGAGGCAGCAGUAGGGAAUCUUCCGCAAUGGGCGAAAGCCUGACGGAGCAACGCCGCGUGAGUGAUGAAGGUCUUCGGAUCGUAAAACUCUGUUAUUAGGGAAGAACAUACAUGUAAGUAACUAUGCACGUCUUGACGGUACCUAAUCAGAAAGCCACGGCUAACUACGUGCCAGCAGCCGCGGUAAUACGUAGGUGGCAAGCGUUAUCCGGAAUUAUUGGGCGUAAAGCGCGCGUAGGCGGUUUUUUAAGUCUGAUGUGAAAGCCCACGGCUCAACCGUGGAGGGUCAUUGGAAACUGGAAAACUUGAGUGCAGAAGAGGAAAGUGGAAUUCCAUGUGUAGCGGUGAAAUGCGCAGAGAUAUGGAGGAACACCAGUGGCGAAGGCGACUUUCUGGUCUGUAACUGACGCUGAUGUGCGAAAGCGUGGGGAUCAAACAGGAUUAGAUACCCUGGUAGUCCACGCCGUAAACGAUGAGUGCUAAGUGUUAGGGGGUUUCCGCCCCUUAGUGCUGCAGCUAACGCAUUAAGCACUCCGCCUGGGGAGUACGACCGCAAGGUUGAAACUCAAAGGAAUUGACGGGGACCCGCACAAGCGGUGGAGCAUGUGGUUUAAUUCGAAGCAACGCGAAGAACCUUACCAAAUCUUGACAUCCUUUGACAACUCUAGAGAUAGAGCCUUCCCCUUCGGGGGACAAAGUGACAGGUGGUGCAUGGUUGUCGUCAGCUCGUGUCGUGAGAUGUUGGGUUAAGUCCCGCAACGAGCGCAACCCUUAAGCUUAGUUGCCAUCAUUAAGUUGGGCACUCUAAGUUGACUGCCGGUGACAAACCGGAGGAAGGUGGGGAUGACGUCAAAUCAUCAUGCCCCUUAUGAUUUGGGCUACACACGUGCUACAAUGGACAAUACAAAGGGCAGCGAAACCGCGAGGUCAAGCAAAUCCCAUAAAGUUGUUCUCAGUUCGGAUUGUAGUCUGCAACUCGACUACAUGAAGCUGGAAUCGCUAGUAAUCGUAGAUCAGCAUGCUACGGUGAAUACGUUCCCGGGUCU
rnacentral:rRNA from 1 species